GGGCCAAACCGCGGUCCUCCUGCUGGGCCCGAGCCCCAGCCAUGUCCGAGUCUCGUGUAUCGAGUUGGCUUGGCUUUGGCUGGGGCGGGUCCCCUUUGGAGGUGGCCC